CGCUGGGUCCCGGCCGGUGGUCGGUCCGUGAACCCCGCCAGGUCCGGAAGGAAGCAACGGUAGCGGUGCUCUCCAGGUGGUCGGAUCGGCCCAGCGAUC
rnacentral:SRP_RNA from 1 species